rnacentral:rRNA from 1 species
GAUGAACGCUGGCGGCGUGCCUAAUACAUGCAAGUCGAGCGAACGGACGAGAAGCUUGCUUUUCUGAUGUUAGCGGCGGACGGGUGAGUAACACGUGGAUAACCUACCUAUAAGACUGGGAUAACUUCGGGAAACCGGAGCUAAUACCGGAUAAUAUUUUGAACCGCAUGGUUCAAAAGUGAAAGACGGUCUUGCUGUCACUUAUAGAUGGAUCCGCGCUGCAUUGGCUAGUUGGUAAGGUAACGGCUUACCAAGGCAACGAUGCAUAGCCGACCUGAGAGGGUGAUCGGCCACACUGGAACUGAGACACGGUCCAGACUCCUACGGGAGGCAGCAGUAGGGAAUCUUCCGCAAAGGGCGAAAGCCUGACGGAGCAACGCCGCGUGAGUGAUGAAGGUCUUCGGAUCGUAAAACUCUGUUAUUAGGGAAGAACAUAUGUGUAAGUAACUGUGCACAUCUUGACGGUACCUAAUCAGAAAGCCGCGGCUAACUACGUG